UACGUAGGGGGCAAGCGUUGUCCGGAUUUAUUGGGCGUAAAGCGCGUGUAGGCGGCCAGGUAGGUCCGUUGUGAAAACUCGAGGCUCAACCCUCGAGACGUCGACGGAAACCAUCUGGCUAGAGUCCGGAAGAGGAGAGUGGAAUUCCUAGUGUAGAGGUGAAAUUCGUAGAUAUUAGGAAGAACACCAGUGGCGAAGGCGGCGCACUGGCCCGGUACCUGAAGC
rnacentral:rRNA from 1 species